UCCCUGGUGGUCCAGUGUUUAGGACUCAGUGCUUUCACUGCCGGGGCCCAGGUUCAAUUCCUGGUCAGGAGA
rnacentral:tRNA from 1 species